rnacentral:rRNA from 1 species
UCAGUUUUAGUGAUGUGAAGAAGAAUACUAAUUGGAGUACUAAUGCAAGUGCAGAAAUAAUACAAAAGUAAGUUAGGGAGAAUGCAUUUAUAAGAAAAAAAACCAUUGGUUUCGGCCUAUUGAGUGAGUAAUAAUAACUAAUCAUAUCGUAUGUUUAUGUAACGAGUCGUUUUUCAUUUUUCCCCCUUAUCAGCUUUCGAUGGUAGUGUAUUGGACCCCAUGGCAGUAACGGGUAACGAAGAAUUUGGGUUCGAUUUCGGAGAGGGACCCUGAGAGAUGGCUCCCACAUCCAAGGAAGGCAGCGGGCGCGUAAAUUACCCAAUCCUGACACAGGGAGGUAGUGACAAUAAAUCACAAUGCGGAACAAUGUUUUGCAAUUGGAU